GCUGGCUGUGGGUGGCAGUGAUUCCUCCCUCUCACCUAUAAACAUUUGAGGGAUCUUGAGUGAAUGAUUCAAUCUCUGGAGACAGAAAAAAAAAUUCAGCGGGCUCCAAACUUGCUCUCAGCAGCUAUGCAAACAUCUACUGAGAAAUCAUCCCCUCUUCUUACCUGUAAUUACUCUUCAAUGUGAUAAUUUAAUCUUUUCAUUUAAAAAAGCUUCAGUUUUAAAUCUCUCUUAUUUGUAUUAUUUUUCAAGAUACUAAAUACAUACAGAUAUUUUUAUUACUCAGUUCAGGUUCAGGAACAAAGAAAAUAUUGAAAAUCUGUGAUCUAUGAAAAUCUAUGAUAUACUACAAAAAGUAGGAGAUGGAAUAUGAAGGAUCUAUUUUUAUGUUCAUCAAGAAAUAUUUUUCUAAAAGAUUCCUUACCUUGCCAUCACUUGUACUCAAAGGUCCUCCCCGUUGCCAUGUCGGAAAUGGCACUCCUGGCCAUAUGGGUGCAGCCGGGCACCCCAUUUCUGCAUCAGAUGUGAUGAAGGGAGGCUUCCAAGUAUGAGCAACAGUGCGGCAAGGUAAUUGGCAGAGGCAUGCUCUCUCAAGAGCAACUGUGACGGAUGCAAAAGGUAUAUCAUCAGGACCCUCCAGAUGCUCAGAACUACCUGUCCAUUGUCCUCCUGCUAGGACCAUGGACUGCAUCAGGUCAUUCAUGGCUGGGAUGCAAAUGAAAGCAAAUGAAUCAGCAUGGUUUAAUGUUUAAAAAAUUAUUUUGCACUGUAAAAUGCUUCACAUUUAUUUAAGCAUCAACACGUACUGAAAGCUAUAGUCCACAAGUCCAUAUGUGUUACAACAUGCAACUGGCUGAAUGAAUGAAAAGUGUUAAAAAGCCAAAGCCUUCUUGUAGAGAUGACUGCAAUUGGUUUUUAUUAGCUACAACCGCCAUGCUUGUGCUGGAGUGCUAUAUAAUAGAUAAAUAGAUGUUAGAAGCUCUGAUAUGUUUGCAAUGACAAAAUGGAAUGAACAAGAUAAGAUGAAUAGAAGUGCUAAUACAAAGUCAGUGUUGGUAAUGAUAAGGGGUUCUUCAAUGCAGGCUUCUGCAGGAAUAGACUAUUUAGCAUGACACUCAAUAAAGGUUCUGAAAUAAAUGCAUCCUAAGACAGGUAUCUUUACAUACUGUCUCCCCCAACUUCUUAAAGAACAUUUCCCUAAAGAAUAAAUGACAAAAAUAUCUGUCCCCCUCCCUUCUGUAUCUUUAAAUGAAAAAUAUUUAUAAGAUACAAUUUAUCUUUGCACUGAGUUUUCACCAAACAACUUUACAGAUAUGUAUUUGUUCUUAUAUAAGUGAUAACUAAGAAUGGAAAUCAACAUUUGCAAAUGUCUUGAGGGUAUAUUAUUAUAUGUACACAUAUACUAUCCACCUGUAUUCAGAUGGACAUAAUUUGUACAAUUUGAACAUAUAAUAAAUGUGAAUUCAAUUUA